AAUGUGUGGUUUGGCAAUGAGACGAGCGAAUCUUUAAUGAUAAUAUUCGCGAUAAAGUAGCGCUGUUACUAGCUGAUUCGAUGUUCGCUACACUCCUUAUGAAAUGUAGAUUCGCUCUAACUAAACAGUGGGGCAAAAACAUGGCAACCGUUCCGUCGUUACCUACUUUUCACUUUCCGUUAUUCUCGAGAUCUCCACGUCGUACGAUCGCAAAAUCUUUAUCUGUUAUCUUCUUGACCAUAAAAUUUAACUUCGUACGAAUUAUCGCUAGCGUUACAUGUGUUACAGUUAUUUUAGACAGUUUAUCAUAAUACGCUUAUUAUACGAAACGAAAUUUUCGUAAUCGUUAUAAAUUCUUUUUUCUCAAUCUGCUCUACUUUACGAAAAAUUACAAAUUGUAUCAACGAUCGAUACGUACAUGAGAACGAUUAAAUCGAUAAAUCAUUUCGUUUAGAAGAAAACAUAGUACAGCUCCUCUUAUCUACUGAAAAAUUCCUGUUAUCUGUGGAGUUUGAACCGUAAUGAGUAAACAAUAUUUACGUACGAAAAUUUGAAUGCUGUUAGUGCAGAAUUUUUCGACGAACAUGUUCGUAAUUUCGUUUGUGCUCUCGAUAGAAAAAUACGUGCACGCCUACAGUGGAGAUUUCCCAUUUUACGAUCACAUUCGUCGAAAUAUUCCGAACAAAGAAUGAGACGACAAUAAUAUCCGAUUCUGACGUCAGCGAUUCCAAACACAAUGGACACGUUUUCAAAAGACAUUUUCCUGUUCUAUUUUUGAGUACCUUUUUCUAUAUCCGCUGAGAAUCUCUUGUGCAAUAAGAAUUAUCGAUUAUCACGUUUGUAAUUAAUAUUCAAAUGUUUUGCACGCUAUGACGUUAAAACCGGUUAUUGCGCCAUCUACGGUGAAACAUCCAAGCUACUGACGGGAAUAUUGGAUGACAGUUCCAGUGUUUUGCCGUAGAUGGCACUUGACAAAUUUUUAAACGUAAAGGACUAUGUAUGUGUAUUAAAAAAUGUUUAGUAUAUAGUGUACAAUAUUGUCUGGAGGAACUCAAUAAACAAGAAUUAUGAUUUAUAUAACAAUUUUAUAUUUUUCAGUAUUAUACUAUAAUAAUUCUAACGCAUGGUAUACUAAGUUUUAGACAUUUGACAAAAACUUUAAAUGUCCCAGUAAUAUAACAAAACUAAUGAGUCUAAGUAUUAUGUUGUUGCCAAAACAGUUGGAUUUUCACAGUCACACCGUGUAAAUAAAUUAAAUGACAAAGGAUUGUAUUAUGUUCUUGAAAUGUAAACUUUCCAUUCAAACUUUUCCGCCAUUAAAUCUGGAACUUUAAAGAAAACUGUUUCACACACAUAAUAAGAAAUUAUGCAACUAUGAUGGUAGAACAAAUAACUGAUAAUUAUUCAAAAGAUUUAUCGACGGACAUAAACGUAUACUUUAAUUAUUGUUUUUCUAGUGAAACGGUUAGAUUGGUUGUAUGUAGUGUCCGAAAUUAGACCUCUAACCUCUUCGAAGAGAUAAUGAAAUGCUAAACUCCCGAUGACUUUUCAUUUUGAGAAUUAUUUCUGUUUCGUUAGCGUCAGAAAUGAUUCUACUUAGAAGAUUAUUUAUAAAAGGUAUCAUUUGUCAGAGAUUAGAAUAUCGUACUCCAAUAAUAAAACAUAGGCAAAUAUUUUAUACAUCUUUGAAACCGUCGAUCCGAAUCAACGGAAAAACAUGUAUAUUUUCUACGUUAAGAUAUCGUUGCAAGAGUGCCGAGCAAGCAAAAAUUUCAAAUGCAACCGUACCUCCUGCGACGAGAGCAAAGAAAAUAUCGGAACUUAGAAGCCUGAUCAAGUUAGCUGCACCUGAAAAAUGGAGAUUGUUUGGUGCCAUUGCAUUUCUAGUAGUUUCAUCUGCUGUUACAAUGGCAGUACCAUUUUGUUUAGGAAAAAUCAUUGAUAUCAUCUAUACUAAUGACAUAGAGAACAUGAAAAAAAAUCUGAAUCAAUUAUGCAUCAUUUUGUUUGGAGUAUUCGUUAUUGGAGCUAUAUGUAACUUUGCCAGAGUGUACUUGAUGACUACAACUGGACAUAGAGUCACUCAGUCUUUAAGAAAACAAUUGUACAGUGCAAUCUUACGUCAAGAAACUGCAAUGUUUGAUAAAUGUGGCACAGGAGAACUAGUAGGCAGAUUAUCUGGAGAUACCCAACUUGUAAGCUAUGCCUUAACUAGCAACAUAUCAAAUGGACUACGUUCUGCUAUUAUGAGCAUUAGUGGAAUGGCCAUGAUGUUCUAUGUUUCGCCUACAUUGGCUGGUGUUGGUUUAAGCAUAGUGCCACCAAUUGCUGGUUUAGCUAUAGUUUUUGGUCGGUAUUUGAAAAAAAUAUCUAAAGAUAUACAAACCAAUUUAGCUGCAUUAAACACAAUAACCGAAGAAAAGAUUUCUAAUGUAAGAACAGUGAAAGCUUUUGCCAAAGAAACAUCUGAAAUUAAACGCUAUAAUUCCCAGUUAGAAAAAAUGCUUAGAGUGUGUUACAAAGAAAGUUUGUAUAGAGGAAUAUUUUUUGGACUGACCGGUUUCUCAGGAAAUGCAGUUGUUCUUUCUGUUUUGUAUUAUGGCGGUGUUAUGGUCUCUGAUUCUUCUAUUACAGUUGGAAAUUUAAGUUCUUUCUUAUUAUAUGCAGCAUACGUAGGUAUUUCUUUAAAUGGAUUAUCCUCAUUUUACGUUGAAUUAAAUAAAGCACUAGGUGCAAAUACACGUAUUAAUGAAUUAAUUCAAAGACAGCCAGAGAUACCUAUUCAAGGUGGUAAAAUUUUAGAUAAAGAACUAUCGGGUGAUAUUGAAUUUCGAAAUCUGAGUUUUGCUUAUCCUACAAGAAAUAAUAUACAUGUUUUGGAUAACUUCAAUUUAAAAAUCCCAAAAUGUACAGUAGUUGCUAUUGUUGGUUCAUCAGGUUCUGGAAAGUCUACGAUAGCUUCACUUCUAUUAAGACUUUAUGAUCCAGAUUCAGGAUGCAUACUUUUAGAUAAUCAUGAUCUUAGGUCUCUUGAUCCUACGUGGGUAAAAUCUCAAAUGAGUAUUGUUUCCCAAGAGCCAGUUCUAUUUAGUGGCACAAUACGAGAGAAUAUAUUGUAUGGAACAGAGGAUUCAACGAAAUGUGACAUAGAAGAUGUUGCACAGAGUGCAUAUGUUUCACAAUUUUCAAAAUACAUGCCAAAUGGUUUAGAUACUAUGAUCGGGGAACGAGGCAUUACACUCAGUGGAGGACAAAGACAAAGAAUUGCUAUUGCUAGAGCAUUGAUAAGGCAACCAAAAAUAUUAAUCUUGGACGAAGCAACGAGCGCGCUAGAUGCAGAAAGUGAACAUUACGUUCAGCAAGCUCUAAAAAAUGCUGUUAAAGGACGCACUGUAUUAACAAUAGCCCACAGACUUAGUACGAUAAAAAAUGCUGAUCAGAUUAUAGUUUUGAACCAGGGACAAGUGGCAGAAACUGGAACGUACAAAGAACUUAUGGAUAUAGAUAAUGGUCACUUCCAUAAAUUGGUGCAGCAUCAGACAUUUACCUAAAUCUGCAUACUACUAAACUAAUUAGGAAUUGAGUAAAUUCAACAGGAAUUGGAUUGAAAUCAUGAACAAAGGAUAUUGAAAAUCACAUUACACUUGUAAUAAAUAAUUAGUAAAUUUAUUAAUUUAAUUUCUGAAAUACAAUAUCUUAUUCUGUAAUUUAUUAAUUACGUUUUAAUUAUUGAUGAUUCCUUUAUACCAGUGACAUUUGUUAAGAAUGUUUUUAAAUAAUAUGAAAAAGGAUGUAUAAACUCGUUGAUAAGAUAUAUCGAUACAUCAACAAAAUUCGGAGGUGGAAAUGAAAUUUAUAUUCAAUAUGCUCUGUUUAAUCUAAUAAAAUAAUUUGGGCAACGCAUGAAGUACUUAUUAACAGGUUGUAACUUGUGUUAAUACAAAAAUCACAAAGCCCUGUGUACGUAUGUGUGUAUAUAUAUCAUUUCUGAUCUAAGGUGUAAGGCAGGUAUUAUAAAUAAUUCCACUUUGGUAAUAAUUUUUAAUAUAUUUUCCUAUAAAAUAAUGUACACUGCUAUUUUAAGCUAUCAAUGUAUCUUAUAUAUCGUCGAUCUAUGUUAUCUUUAAAUUAAUAUCCCAUUACUACAAUUAUAUGAGAAUAAUCUACUUCAAACCCUGUGUAUAAGUAAAAAUAUUCAUUAUAACACACGAUUAGAAGUAAAUUGUUUCAAUUAAAUUAGUUGAAUUUCUGUUUUCAAUCAUUACACGGGUCUGUUGAAUACUACAUGUUUUUUUCAGGAAAUGAAAGAACAUUAUUAUACCCUUGUUAUCCAAUAAGUAUUCAUCUAUAAUUUCUCUAUGAAAAAACAUAGCAAGGAAUAAAGAAAGCAAUAAAAUUUAUUUGUCUAACAUGAAAAAACGAUUGAUACUUUUUAAUCUUGCUAUAUCUUAUACUUUUCUAUGUAGGAAAUAUGUGUAACAAGGACAUUCAUUAAUUAAUUACAUCUUGAAUCAUAAAAUGGAAUUGAUCCUUCAAUUUCAUUUACGCUUAUUAUAAUUGGAACAUCCUUAAUCUUCAGUCAUCUGUGGGAAAACUGUGCCUAACAAGUUGUGAAGUUUUAAAAAUUGACGCAUUUUAUUAAUUACCAAUUAACUCACCAAUUAUUUCAUAAAAUUUCAAAAUAUUUGCUUAUAUAAAACAUUUAUUAGCUGAACACUGAGAACCUGAAUUUGGAAUGCAAUUCAAGCUAUGGUCAUACAAGAAAUUAGCUCCUUUCACAGAUAAAAAGUAUUUUAAAACACCAGAAUGCAUAUUUCAAAUGCUCUUUGUUCACAGAACUAUCACACGUCACAUUUGUUAGGAGCUACAUUAGAAUUUCUUAUGCUCCGGUCACAAGCACAGCCAUACCCUAAAUAGAAACUUUAUUUGUAUAAAUUUAUGACGAAACUUUUUACAAUUCGACUUGAGCAGAAACUCAAAUCGUAGUUACAACUGGUCGUUAAUAGUAUAACAUCUUGGGAGUAGGUAGUUCUUUGCUUUCUACAGGAGCUUAGAAAUUCAUACGCACAAGUUUCUGUACAAGUAAAUACCAAAAUUUAUCAAAUUUAAUUGUAAUUAUA